ensembl:lncRNA
AUCCCUGGAGGCAUUCAAGGCCACGCUGGAUGUGGUUCUGGGCAGCCUGGUCUGGAGGUUGGCAACCCUGCACAUAGCAGGGAGGUUGAAAGUCAGUGAUCAUUGUGGUCCUUUUCAACCAAGCCCAUUCUACGAUUCUAUGCACUAGAUUAGGCUGGCCAUGGUUCCUAUCCAACCUAGCCUCUUUUUAUGCCUUACAACUUAGCCACUUUGUACGUCUCUUUUCAGAAAGAAAACAAAGAUAUACCGAUUCAGACUACUUUAACACUUCCAUGCAAAUGCACUCUUCUAAUAUUUUUUAAAUGGAUCUUUUUGUUUUGUUUUUGCUCUGAGAAUUCUUCCUUCCACUCUAACACAUUGGUAAAAUGAAAGGCUGUCUAGUACUGCAUUAAUGGGUAUCAUUCAUGCCAGUUCACUAGUAUGGAUGGAUACUAUACUCCCUGAAAUGAAUGGUCAUUAGAUAUUUCCUCAGAAAUCUUCAUUUUUUCACAGUUAUUCAAGUAAUUUAUUUUUUACCAAGUCAGCAGCUAUAUAUCUGCUGAUGGAAAGAGAAUCCAUGUUCUGGAAAAGAAAACAUGUGUGCAGCGAUUUUUUCAAGAUUUUGGUCACAAGCCCAAGAUCACUCAGAUUUGUAUUCACAGUCCCUGGUCUUCAUGUGGGAAUUCAACCACCCCAAUAUCUGUUGGAGAGGCAACAAAGCAAGGCAUGAGCAAUCCAGGAGGUUCCUAGAGUGUGUUGCAGAAUCACAGAACCACAGAAUCACAGAGAUCGAAAGGAACCUCAAGAGAUCAUCAAGUCCAACCUGCUGCAACAGGUCAAGCUCUCAAAAUAUGGAACACGACACUAUUUUGCUGUUCAUGCACUCAGUCUCUGAGCAGCCCAGGGAACAAAUGCUGACUUGCCUGACCUGGAGAGUGAAAAAUGAAGAUGGAUCAAUUAAGAUAACUAGACAGCUUGUGAUGCUUAUCAAUAAAGUACUGGCAGAUCUCUACUACAUGUAUGGAGAAAGACAUUUCAAAGGUUAAGAACAAAGCCAGUUUGGAUAGAUGCAUAGGCUGGGGAUUGUAAAAAUACAUAGUCAUUUGUUAAGAUUUUUCUUAUUAUGCAGUUGUCGUGUUUUUUUUCCUUGGAAUUCUCUGACAAUUUGUGCACAAUAAAGAAUUCUUUGGUUUGUUAUUCUCAGUGGGUAGAGUCUGAAAUUUGCUCUAUUUUGGAGGACUGAGAUGGCAAGUAAAUGACUGCUAUUAAAACAAAUAUCUGGAGACCAAAAAACAACUUUUUAAUCAUGUUUUUUGAUUCCUCUUGUCUGUUUUUCUGGAUUGUAAAUUAUUUAUUCACAUCCAUUUCUACUAUAUAUAAAUCUGAAUCUUCUCUGCCCUGUGUCUGAACUAUAGAUUUAUCAUAACGUUUAUUUUUGACCCUUAGCAUGCUUGUAUACAAAAUUAUGUAGACAUUGCCUGAUUUUGUAUUAUGUAUUAAAACCAGCAAAAUGUGCUAAUUUCUCUAGG